AAUGGACGAAAGUCUGAUGCAGCAACGCCGCGUGGAGGAUGACACAUUUCGGUGCGUAAACUCCUUUUAUAGGUCAAGAUAAUGACGGUAGCCUAUGAAUAAGCGCCGGCUAACUCCGUGCCAGCAGCCGCGGUAAUACGGAGGGCGCAAGCGUUACUCGGAAUCACUGGGCGUAAAGAGCGUGUAGGCGGAUUAAUAAGUCAGAAGUGAAAUCCAAUAGCUUAACUAUUGAACUGCUUUUGAAACUGUUGAUCUAGAGUGUGGGAGAGGUAGAUGGAAUUUCUGGUGUAGGGGUAAAAUCCGUAGAUAUCAGAAGGAAUACCGAUUGCGAAGGCGAUCUACUGGAACAUAACUGACGCUGAGACGCGAAAGCGUGGGGAGCAAA
rnacentral:rRNA from 1 species